AUUGAACGCUGGCGGCAUGCCUUACACAUGCAAGUCGAACGGCAGCACGGGAGCAAUCCUGGUGGCGAGUGGCGAACGGGUGAGUAAAGUAUCGGAACGUGCCCAGUCGUGGGGGAUAACGUAGCGAAAGUUACGCUAAUACCGCAUACGAUCUAUGGAUGAAAGCGGGGGAUCGCAAGACCGCGCGCGAUUGGAGCGGCCGAUAUCAGACUAGGUAGUUGGUGGGGUAAAGGCUCACCAAGCCGACGAUCUGUAGCUGGUCUGAGAGGACGACCAGCCACACUGGGAAUGAGACACGGCCCAGACUCCUACGGGAGGCAGCAGUGGGGAAUUUUGGACAAUUGGCGAAAGCCUGAUCCAGCCAUGCCGGGUGCAGGAUGAAGGCCUUCGGGUUGUAAACUGCUUUUGUACGGAACGAAAAGGUUUGGCCUAAUAAGCUGAGCUCAUGACGGUACCGUAAGAAUAAGCACCGGCUAACUACGUGCCAGCCGCCGCCGUAA
rnacentral:rRNA from 1 species